CUGGCAUCGGGAGGACCGAGAGCAGGGCUCUUAUAGCUGCGGACGAUUGAAUCUCAGACUGGCUCCAUUCCGCAGGCCACCUCCCUUAGGGAAGAGAAACAAGCCAAAGGCGAACGCAAACGGAAUCAGCCCUCAGGAGAGGAUCCUGGGCCGUCCCAGAGGCUCCGGGGGAGUUCCCCCACCCCCACCCCACCCCCAGGCGAUUCUGAGGAGCAGCAGGAUUUGGGGGCCCUCAUAAAAGAGCCUUCAGACCCCUGGACCCCCACGUGAAGGAGCGGGGCUCGUCCUCAGCCUGUGCAUCCGUAACCACUGCAGCUGUUCUUCACCCUGUGGAGGGGCCCAGAUGCCUUUGAAAAUCUAGUAAAACCAUCGAACUUCUCCUGGGGAAAAAGCACAGGGGCUCGAAUUCUGGCCAGCAGUGUCGGGGGAAUUAACGGGCUUCCCAGCGCUCAUUGAUGGAGCCCUGGAGGCCCACGGGCCCAUGGGAGGCGCAGCUGGCCUGUCUGGAGGCCUCCACGGCUGCAUGUCCAGUGUGGCCUCCUCUAGCCACGUGUGGCCACGGAGCACGUGGCAUGUUGCUGGUCUGGACUGAGGGGAGCUGUGCACACCUGGAUUCUGAAGGCUUAGUAUGGAAGAAGAAUAAAAAAACCUCCAGCCCUAACCGGUUUGGCUCAGCGGAUAGAGCGUCGGCCUGCAGACUGAAAGGUCCCAGGUUCGAUUCCGGUCAAGGGCAUGUACCUGGGU